rnacentral:sRNA from 1 species
UAUUCUGCCCUACGGGGAAGGAUGAGAAGCUUCGACUAAGGUUCGACUCGAGCGUCAGCGAGAGAACGUUGCCGCAGGCAACGGCCCGAAGGGCGAGGCGCUUUAGCGCCGAGUAAUCC